UCCACAGUAGCUCAGUGGCAGAGCUAUCGGCUGUUAACCGAUCGGUCGUAGGUUCGAGUCCUACCUGUGGAGCCA
rnacentral:tRNA from 2 species